GUGGGGAAUAUUGGACAAUGGGCGCAAGCCUGAUCCAGCAAUGCCGCGUGCAGGAAGAAGGCCUUCGGGUUGUAAACUGCUUUUGUACGGAACGAAACGGUCCGGGUUAAUACCCUGGGCUAAUGACGGUACCGUAAGAAUAAGCACCGGCUAACUACGUGCCAGCAGCCGCGGUAAUACGUAGGGUGCAAGCGUUAAUCGGAAUUACUGGGCGUAAAGCGUGCGCAGGCGGUUUUGUAAGACAGGCGUGAAAUCCCCGGGCUCAACCUGGGAAUUGCGCUUGUGACUGCAAGGCUGGAGUGCGGCAGAGGGGGAUGGAAUUCCGCGUGUAGCAGUGAAAUGCGUAGAUAUGCGGAGGAACACCGAUGGCGAAGGCAAUCCCCUGGGCCUGCACUGACGCUCAUGCACGAAAGCGUGGGGAGCAAACAGGAUUAGAAACCCGAGUAGUCC
rnacentral:rRNA from 1 species